rnacentral:rRNA from 1 species
AUUGAACGCUGGCGGCAGGCCUAACACAUGCAAGUCGAGCGAGCGGCGGACGGGUGAGUAAUGUAUGGGGAUCUGCCCGAUAGAGGGGGAUAACUACUGGAAACGGUGGCUAAUACCACAUACUAUCGGUUGAACCCAUCUGGGAUUAGCUAGUAGGUGGGGUAAAGGCUCACCUAGGCGACGAUCUCUAGCUGGUCUGAGAGGAUGAGCGGCCCAACGGGAACAGAGACACGGCCCAGACUCCUACGGGAGGCAGCAGUGGGAAAUAUUGCACAAUGAGCGCAAGCCUGAUGAAGCCAUGCCGCGUGUAUGAAGAAGGCCUUAGGGUUGUAAAGUACUUUCAGCGGAGAGGCGUUACCCGCAGAAGAAGCACCGGCUAACUCCGUGCCAGCCGCCGCGGUAAUUC